rnacentral:rRNA from 1 species
AGAGUUUGAUCCUGGCUCAGGAUGAACGCUGGCGGCGUGCCUAAUACAUGCAAGUCGAGCGUACAGACGAGGAGUUUGCUCCUCUAACGUUAGCGGCGGACGGGUGAGUAACACGUGGAUAACCUACCUAUAAGACUGGGAUAACUUCGGGAAACCGGAGCUAAUACCGGAUAAUAUAUUGAACCGCAUGGUUCAAUAGUGAAAGACGGUUUUGCUGUCACUUAUAGAUGGAUCCGCGCCGCAUUAGCUAGUUGGUAAGGUAACAGCUUACCAAGGCAACGAUGCGUAGCCGACCUGAGAGGGUGAUCGGCCACACUGGAACUGAGACACGGUCCAGACUCCUACGGGAGGCAGCAGUAGGGAAUCUUCCGCAAUGGGCGAAAGCCUGACGGAGCAACGCCGCGUGAGUGAUGAAGGUCUUCGGAUCGUAAAACUCUGUUAUUAGGGAAGAACAAAUGUGUAAGUAACUAUGCACGUCUUGACGGUACCUAAUCAGAAAGCCACGGCUAACUACGUGCCAGCAGCCGCGGUAAUACGUAGGUGGCAAGCGUUAUCCGGAAUUAUUGGGCGUAAAGCGCGCGUAGGCGGUUUUUUAAGUCUGAUGUGAAAGCCCUCGGCUCAACCGUGGAGGGUCAUUGGAAACUGGAAAACUUGAGUGCAGAAGAGGAAAGUGGAAUUCCAUGUGUAGCGGUGAAAUGCGCAGAGAUAUGGAGGAACACCAGUGGCGAAGGCGACUUUCUGGUCUGUAACUGACGCUGAUGUGCGAAAGCGUGGGGAUCAAACAGGAUUAGAUACCCUGGUAGUCC